GUCCAGGUGCUAAUUUCAGUGACUGGAUUAAAAGAUGUCAAGAAGCUCAGAAUGGCGCAGAAUCUGAGGUGGGGUUAAAAAGACACCUUUUCAGUAAGGGAACUGCUUUCUCGUCCCAAGAAAACUGAGGUUGCCAACCCAGUUACAGCACCCUCAUUUCAGGUGAGCUGAGGUUCUGGGUCAGUCAUUACAGUCAUGCUAUUGUUACCAUCUCACAGGCUGCAGGUACUGGUGGCCAGAGGUAGUGGUUGGCACUGAAGACUAAAACAUAAUCAUCCUGGGUGAUUCCUCUCAAGCACUUUUUAAUGUGACUUCAGCGGGUUCCAAGCCCAGGGCAGUUACAUUUUCAAUUCAGGCCCCUUAGUUUCAAGUUACACCAUGACCUAAAUUAUGUAACUAAUUUGAGUUUGCA